rnacentral:rRNA from 1 species
UAGGGAAUCUUCCACAAUGGACGCAAGUCUGAUGGAGCAACGCCGCGUGAGUGAAGAAGGUUUUCGGACCGUAAAGCUCUGUUGUUGGUGAAGAAGGAUAGAGGUAGUAACUGGCCUUUAUUUGACGGUAAUCAACCAGAAAGUCACGGCUAACUACGUGCCAGCAGCCGCGGUAAUACGUAGGUGGCAAGCGUUGUCCGGAUUUAUUGGGCGUAAAGCGAGCGCAGGCGGAAGAAUAAGUCUGAUGUGAAAGCCCUCGGCUUAACCGAGGAAUUGCAU